rnacentral:rRNA from 1 species
UACGUAGGGUGCAAGCGUUAAUCGGAAUUACUGGGCGUAGAGCGUGCGCAGGCGGUUUUGUAAGUCAGAUGUGAAAUCCCCGGGCUUAACCUGGGAACUGCGUUUGAAACUACAAGGCUAGAGUGUGGCAGAGGGGGGUGGAAUUCCACGUGUAGCAGUGAAAUGCGUAGAGAUGUGGAGGAACACCGAUGGCGAAGGCAGCCCCCUGGGUUAACACUGACGCUCAGGCACGAAAGCGUGGGGAGCAAACAGG